AUCUAAAUACCUGAAAGCACCAAAUCCCAUCUGAUCUUGAAAGCUAAGCAAGGUCAGCCCUGGUUAGUAUUUAUUUAUUUACAGCAUUUAUAUUCCGCCCUUCUCACCCCGAAGGGGACUCAGGGCGGAUC
rnacentral:rRNA from 11 species